rnacentral:rRNA from 1 species
AAAACGACUCUCGGCAACGGAUAUCUCGGCUCUCGCAUCGAUGAAGAACGUAGCGAAAUGCGAUACUUGGUGUGAAUUGCAGAAUCCCGCGAACCAUCGAUUCUUUGAACGCAAGUUGCGCCCGAAGCCAUCAGGCCGAGGGCACGUCUGCCUGGGCGUCACGC